rnacentral:rRNA from 1 species
GGAUGCGAUCAUACCAGCACUAAUGCACCGGAUCCCAUCAGAACUCCGAAGU